UUGAAGUAUGCUAAGCAUUAUAAACAUCCUUUCAGUGUUUUACCACAGUAUGCUUUGAGGAGCAAGAAAACUGGGCACAUACUCAUUCUCCAGGCACACUGCCAAACUCUUCCAAGCACCCUACCUGCCCACUAUCUUAAGUUUCCAGAAUAAGUGAGAAAACACAAUCCAGUUGCAGCUGCAGGUCUGCAUGUUUCCUCCCUGCACUCCGAGACUGAACUCUAAAACACGGACAAGAAAACUUUGACGCAUGGGCGAAAACUCAUGGGGUGUUUAUACAGUGCAACAUGCUGAUCCAUUCCACAUCUGACGAACUACCAUGAGCAGCACAUCAGAGUCGUGCCUCUGAAUACAGCAUCUUUCAUAGAGGAAAAGGUCAACAUUCAGUGAGAGGAAAUCAUCCUGCACAGCUGGACAACCACAGUGCUGGAUCAUCUCAGCGAGAAAAGAGAGUACAAAUAUACAACUCUUAAGUGUAAGAGAAGAACAGUCAAAGCCCUCAAAAAUCCAGUCUGCUUCUAUGACUUCCACAUUACGAUCACCUACAUUAAGCAUGCAUCCAGUGCUUAAUAAACACAGGCUCACCUAAAACCUCCUGGACUCACCGGCCACCUAAACCCCCUGUUGCCUUCACAAGGGUGGCUAGAUGUUCUUAAACAUCACAAGCCUCAUUCUCUGUUUCAAGCUGACCUUGGAAUGGCCAUUAGACAUGGCUUUGAACUACUGGAACUAUCUCUUAUAGACCAGUGUCAAGGGUCCCCCUGAGUUGAUAAUGACUUGCUUUCAUAACUGCUGUGACAUUUUGUGAAGGUACGCUAGGCGUGCUUACAGGCCAUAUCUACAGAAUGCAAUGCUUCCUUUCCCCCUCAGCAGGUGUGAAUCUGAGCUGCAUAGUCUGCGAUUUACAGUGCUGUGUUUGCGCAUCCUGGAAUAAGCAUAGGCCACACGCAUAUGUCCAACCUUGAUAAGCAAUUUGGCUCACUAUAGUGUCGACAUGAAUACGGCUGUACAGUGGGGACGCUUAGUUAAACAUCAGAAACACAGUACUAUGAUGAAGCUGGCGUAGUGUGUUAUGGAUAUUUUUAGUUAUCUAAGCCAUAUGCUGGGGUAAAAUUGUUGGAUCAGUCACUUCUUGCAUCAUUUUUAAAGUGCCUUUAUUUUAAAGAAAAAUAAGUUUGUAUAUAGGGGAUAGUUCACCCAAAAAUGAACAAUUAUGUCAUUAUUUGAUCACCCUUUACUUGUUUCAAUCCUAUAUAAGUCUGUUCUGUAGAAGAUAUUUUGAAGGAAGCUGGAAACCUGUAACCAUUGACUGUCAGAAUGUCAGCAUUCAGAAUAUCUUCUUUUAUGUUUAACAGAAGAAUUUUUAAUUUUUUUGAACUAACAAAGCCUUUAAAAUGAAAUACAAUAUAGAGUGAUAACCAGUUAUUCAAAUUUCUUGCAUUUCGAUUAAUGAUUUGAUCUUUGUUGUAAUAGACUGGCGACCCUUCUCAGUAAUCAUGUUUCUUUGUUUUAUCACAAAUUAAACUAUCUGUAAGGUGUUAAAAAGUUUUAAAAUAUCUUCAAAGUCUAAAUUUUAGGCGUUAAAAGUCUUAAAUUUACUGCAAUAUUGUCUUGUAAGUCUUAAAUAAUUUUUAACAGGUCUUCAUUUUCACCUAUCCAAUCACUAACCUUCCUUCUCAAUAAAAAAUUUAACAAAAGAUUAUUUAUUAACUUUAUUAACCAAUAUGGUAACAUUAUCUUCCUACAAUGUUUUAACUGGGCCAGUGGAAAAAAUUCAAAAUGUUUGGCUUUGUAUAAUGGUAGACCAUUUCAUUACCAAUGGUCUUAAAAAGGUCUUAAAUUUAACUUGAUUUAACCUGUAGAAACCCCAUUUAUAUUACUAUGCAGUACACUGUACAUAAACAUAACAUCAACAUGUUGGUAUAAAGUUUACAGUUUUACAAUUUACAGUGCUCAGCAUAUAUGCGUACACCCCUCUAAAAAUCUAUCUCUUAGAUUCAUAGUUUUAAUAGGAAUCUGUACAAUAUUAUUUUUGUGCAUAUACAUUAGAUUAGUCAGUACUGAAGCCAAAUCUGGAGCUUAUCUAACAAAAUAACUUACUUAAACAGUCAAAAACGAUUACACACAAAUUUAUGGUAUAGAAAAACAUUAAACACAAAUUUAAAAAAUAGAAGUUUUGUUGAAAUUUUGUAGGUUUUAUUUAUUUAUUUUUUGCAUUAUUUAGCCUGAAUGUAAUUGUAUUAUCUUUCAAUAUCUAAAUAUGUUUGGUGACUAAAAUCUUAUUUUAAUAAAUAUAUCUGUUUAAUUAAUCUCUUUUGUUUAAAUGCACUAAAAUACAUUGCCUACAUCCACUGAAAAAAGGAUAAAAAUAUUCACUUUCAAAAUGGGGUGUACUCAAUUAUGCUGAGCACUGUAUAUGGCAGUUUUCAAUUUUGCCCACUAUACUGCCUUCAUGGCUACAUUUCUUACAUUACCUUAUAGAAACCCUGUCAGAUCUGAUGUGAAAUCUGAAUCACGUAGGCCGCUGAAUGUCUUCAUGCCAUGUCUAGUUCCUGCAUGUGGAUGGAAGAAGAGAUAAAUGAACUCUCUCGCUGUGCCCUUACAUAAAUGAGGGUUGAUGAAAAUGAUGAUAGGCUCGAGCUGCUGAAGAACUGAUCCCAGUGGAGACCUUACAGUGCUCUGUCCCACUCACAAGACAAAUUAUAUAAUUAGGCACAUGUCUUAGGGGACGCCAACCUUUGGCCCUUUCUUGACAUCUUCAAUGCUAAAUGACAGCAUAUCUUGCUAAAAUAACUGGGCAAAUUCAUCUUGGUGACACAAGCCGAAUUCUCUUUACAGUUGUAUUAAUUGUCUGGUUUGGAGAAAUCCCACUGAAAUUACAAUAUCCAGCUACUCAAGGGAAACAUUCUAUUUGAUUAUAAAGAUGAUCACAAUUCUUGGAGAGAGGAGUCAAAAGCAAAUUGUUUUAACUGUAUGGUAAUUUGCAUAAGUAAUAUUAAAAUAAUCUAUUAAUAAAA
ensembl:lincRNA si:ch211-277g23.5 si:ch211-277g23.5